rnacentral:misc_RNA from 1 species
AAGUCGUAACAAGGUUUCCGUAGGUGAACCUGCGGAAGGAUCAUUAACACGUAUCCACGUUAAAAUCAACCACCACGAACUGUGCUCCCUAGCCUCCUACCUCUACGCGUUCCAAUACGGGGUUUAAUGGGUUACAGAGAUUGUCCUGUCUUCGGCCUGUCGACUGCUGUGAUUCCUUUAUUGGAGCUAACAUUCCUCGAGAGUGUGGCGUAGUAACCGGAAGUUAGGCUUAUUAUUUUCACGUCCUUCUCAACCUCAUCCAUUUUUAGGGCCGGGGAAGGAUAACCAUACCAAUUUCACCCUAUUUUACCUAUUGGGCUAAUUUAUAAUUCUAUGGGAGAAAUCCUAAUGGAAUGAUCUAAGAUUUAUCUUAACUAAGCACAACUCUUAGCAAUGGAUAUCUUGGUUCUC